rnacentral:tRNA from 1 species
GGGUCCGUGUCCCGAGCGGCAAAGGGGGUUGACUGUAAAUCAACUGCGAAAGCUUCGUAGGUUCGAGUCCUACCGGGCCCA